AUGUUAAGAAAAAAAAGUGAGUCUUCAGUGGACAGACUGUUGUUCACGGUGCAGGAGGUUUUUGUACGAGCACCUAAUGAGUCUGUAUCACUGUGGUACACUUUCGGUGGAGGAACCAGACUUGACAACGACUUGGGUCUGGUGCGGCCCACCCUGACCCUCCUCCCCCCCUCCAGUGAAGAGCUGGAGCAGGGCACUGCCACUCUGGUGUGUAUGGCCAGCGGGGGCUUCCCCUCAGCCUGGAGCCUUGGCUGGAAGGUGGGGGGCAGAAUCAGGUCCUCAGGGGUGUCUCACAACCCGGGGGUCCUGGGGGGAACCGGCCACUACAGCUGGAGCAGCACCAUGAGCCUCACUGCAGACCAGUGGAGGAAGGCGGGCUCAGUGAGCUGUGAGGCCAGUCUGAACGGACAGAGCCCUGUCGCUCAAACCCUGGACCCUGACCUCUGCUCAGAGUAGAGAGACGACCGGGUGGAGUCAUUGUGCUCUACUGUGGGUCCGUUUGAUUUACAUGUGUUCUACUGCAGCUCUGCAUGUCUUCAUGUCUUUUCUUCAACUCAU